rnacentral:rRNA from 1 species
CUAUGCGCCUUGCCAGCCGCUCAGGUGUGCCAGCCGCCGCGGUAAUACGGAGGAUGCGAGCGUUAUCCGGAUUUAUUGGGUUUAAAGGGUGCGUAGGCGGAUUUUUAAGUCAGCGGUAAAAUGUCCGGGCUCAACCCGGGCCGGCCGUUGAAACUGGGGAUCUUGAGUGGGCGAGAAGUAUGCGGAAUGCGUGGUGUAGCGGUGAAAUGCAUAGAUAUCACGCAGAACUCCGAUUGCGAAGGCAGCAUACCGGCGCCCGACUGACGCUGAGGCACGAAAGCGUGGGGGAUCGAACAGG